AUACCCUCCACCAUAGUAUGGAGGGUAUAUUAAUUUUGUCAUUCCGUUUGUAGCACAUCGAAAUAUUCAUUUCCGACCCUAUAAAGUAUAUAUAUUCUUGAUCAGGGUAAAAUUCUAAGACGAUCUAGCCAUGUCCGUCCGUCUGUCCGUCCGUCUCCAUGUCCGUCCGUAUGUCCGUCUGUCCGUCUGUUGUAAUCACGCUAUCUUUCGAA